AACACAGAAACUUGCACACAGUGAUGGAAGCAGUCGUUCCUGUUCAGCAUUGAUAUGCCGGUAAUGGGUUUGAUGAGCCACAGCAUGGUGAUGGGCAAUCAGCAUCAGGACCAGGGCCGCUCACAAGGAGAACCUCCUGCCCUGCCUCUUCAUCCUCAACCUCCAAUCUUCCUGCUCUUCACACAUGUGCAGGCACAGAGCCAGUUUUCAGAGGGAGGGCUGAUGACACCAGCAACUUCGGAUCUGAACCUGAUCAACCCAGCACCAACCACUGUGCCGCUCCUCCUCUGCCAACUGCACUACAUGGCUCCACCAUCUCAAAGGCACAGACACUACUCCACUUCCUGCGAAGGAUGAGAGAAGAGCCGACCGCCCCACAUCGGCACUCACCACCUUCUACAGGGGUGUCAUUGAGAGCAUCCUGACCAGCAGCCUCUCUGUCUGGCAUGGCAGCCGUCAAGCUGAAGACUAGAAGGCAGUACAGAGAGUGGUGAGGACAGCAGAAAAGCUCAUAAGAUCACCCCUACCUGUUCUCCCUACUACCAUCAGGGAAGCGCUAGCCCAGCAUGCGGUGCUGCAAAAGCACACUGGGAAACGACUUCUUUCCACAAGCCAUCAGACUCCUCAACGCACUGAAGAAAACCACAUGAAUAACCAAGGACACGGGAGAAUAUUCCAUGAACACUUCUUUCACCAUGCCACUUACACUUUACUCAUUGCACCUUGUAUACAGCAUCUUCACACCACCUGUAUGAACUCCUCCUGCCGUGUGUGUGUGUCCACUGUGUUUGUGUAUUUAUUGUCCAUCAGUAUGUUAAUCUUAUUAUUGCACACUGUUUGGGUGUCUGUAUUUAUAGUAUGUAUCAGUCUGUAUUUAAUGCCAAUGCCUUAUUUUUAGUUAUUAGUUAAAUGCACAUUGGAGACUGGUCAAACACAAUUUCAAACUUUGUGUUAACCCUCUUGUUGACCGUUCACACUUCAUAGUGUAAAAGUAAACAGAAAUAAAUUCACAUUUCA